GAUGAAGAACGUAGCGAAAUGCGAUACGUAAUGUGAAUUGCAGAAUUCAGUGAAUCAUCGAGUCUUUGAACGCACAUUGCGCCCCCUGGUAUUCCGGGGGGCAUGCCUGUCCGAGCGUCAUUACAACCCUCAAGCUCAGCUUGGUGUUGGGCCCCGCCGCCCCGGCGGGCCCUAAAGUCAGUGGCGGUGCCGUCCGGCUCCGAGCGUAGUAAUUCUUCUCGCUCUGGAGGUCCGGUCGUGUGCUUGCCAGCAACCCCCAAUUUUUUUCAGGUUGACCUCGGAUCAGGUAGGGAUACCCGCUGAACUUAAGCAUAUCAAUAAGCGGAGGA
rnacentral:misc_RNA from 1 species